ACGAACUCUCGAACCACCCUUUCCUUGCAUAUAUCACAGUGAAAGCGUAAAAUUUAGUAAAGGUAUAUGCUGACGUUUCAAUGUAUGCAUUUACGUGACAGUUUAGCGAAAGUGUCGAGAAGAAUAUAAGUGUCUACUAUUUUUAGUAAAUGUAUUCAUUUAGUAGACAAUGAAAUUGGUAUGUGCAUACAUUAACUAGUAAGUUUCUUGUCCCUGUUUCACGUGUUUACAUGAGAGUUUUCGAGAACCGUUUGCCCACACAGAGAAAAAUGUAUAAUUCAGCGGAGCGGAUAAACACGGUGUUACCAGUGAUCGAAGUCACCUGGCAGUCCGGUCACGAAUUUAUUUCACAACUACAUAACUUUCCUAACGCUUGGAACAGAGUAGCAAAACGAGGAUUGCGAUCUCGGGAUUUGUUUGGAGUCCAAACAUGCAUACAAUAGCGGUUGCUUCGUUAGCGUCCGACAAAACGAAGUAAUACAUUUUUCUCGCUGUGAAAAUCUCGUUCUAUUCGUGACAAUGAAUUCACGUGAAUUACCAGUGUGCUCUGUUGCUGAUAUUAUAACCCAGAUUCUACGUGAAAAAAUAAGUUGAAAGUUCUUCUUCUUGUAUGCUAAUAUUUGUACCUACGUUUGUUCUUAUAAU